rnacentral:sRNA from 1 species
GAGAACGUUGCGCCAGCAACGGCCCGCAGGGCGAGCCACGAAGUGGCGAGUAAUCCUCUGGCACCGACCA